rnacentral:misc_RNA from 1 species
AAUAUCGCACACUGGUUCAUUUUCAAAAUGGCGUAAAAGCAGAUAAGAACUCAAAGAAUUUUGGAAACAUAUAUAAAAGUGUAUCAAUUUACAAUCAAAUUAUUUGUAAAUUUUAUGUGGAUAUUGACGUUUAAAGUGUGGGGGAACUAUAUAAAUUUGCAAAUAAACACAAAAACUAAAAUAUUAAAAUGCAUAUAAGGAAAGGAAUUGAAACGAGUAUUUAAAAAAAAUUGUGUACACAUCUGUAUGUAGAUAUAGUAAAUGCUUUUUAAUGAUACGAUUAUUAGGAGAAAAAUUGGAGGUGUCUCAGUGGAUUAUGAAUCAAGCUUCCAACACGUCUGGUACGACAAAUACGACUAUUACAUUGCUUGAUACUAACAGCGCCUCAUUUUCAAUGGGCGGCCGUAGUUCAAUUCAUAGUAAUGGUAGUAUCAGUAACAGCGAUCACACCGAUAUAUCCAGUGCUACUAUGCCAACUCAAACUUUACUUAAAAUAUUCAAUUACAAAGAUAAUAUAGAUAAUGAAUUUUCUAAUUUGACAUUAUGUGAGGAUAUUUGUUUGAGUAUAAGUCGCCAACUUAAAAUUUUGCCGACCACCCGGUUAUUGUUUGGAUUACGUGUUAUGGACUCUGGUAACGAAUGGGCUGCUCCCGGUCAUGAAUUAAGGCCUGGUGUACGGUACUGUUUUCGUAUGAGGUUUAAGGUGCCAAAUAUGGACACGCAGCUGAAAAAUCUAGACAAGCAGGCUUAUGAAUACUUAUACUGGCAGAUUCGACACGACAUCUUGCACGAAAAAAUUCCAGAAAUACGCCAUCCCGAACGAAAAGAUAAUGUCAUGGGCUUUGCUGUUAUGCAUAUGUGUAUUGAUUUACAAUCAAAAAGUUCAGAAGGCGAGCGAUUAGCUAGCAAUUAUAGGCGGGAAGUUAUAGAAAAUAUAGAAAAUAAGUACAAGGAGUAUUUACCACACACCUUAUUAAGAGAGCAUAGAUACUUUGUAAAAUCGAAAAUUCGUGCAACAUUUAAAAGUGUACGGGACAAAAAAAUUGGAUUCACCGAGUUUAAGUUUUAUUACAUUGAUGAAGUUUGUAAACUGGCGCCUAAUUAUUUGAUGGAAUUCUACUUUGUCGCAGUGGAAUAUAUUCCAAAUGAUGAUCCGAUUUCGGUGCAAGCAACUACAGGCAAAAUGGGUAAUAAUUCAGGAAUUCAAAGAGUUUAUGCGAAAUUAGACACUCAUGACCACCCAGAGCCAGGAUUAAAAAUUUCUCUUAAAAAAGACAACUGGACGUUAUUGGCAAAGCUGGAGGAUAUUUAUGCAAUUUAUAUCAAAAACGAAGUAGAGGCUUAUCUGGAAAUUAUUGAACUGCCAAGGAGCUAUUUUAUGCAAUUUAGUUCAAAAUAUGAACUAGAAUCGUUUGUUACAUACAUAGGAGGUUACUUAAGGCUAACUAGCAAAUGGUCUAAAGAUAUAUGCAACGAUUUUCCAACUCCGUCUUUAAAAUUUUUGAGAGAAACAAAAUGCCACGGUCCGAUUGGUGGAGCUUAUUCCUUUGACAAAUUGCGUAAGAUGUCGGAGAAACGGCCAACUUGCAUUAUAAGGCAGUGUGAAAAAGAGUAUGAUGUUUAUUUUGUCGAUAUAAAUACACAGAGGUCAGUGAAAGGUAGGUUUGCUGGAAACAUAGUAACCACCAAAAUAACAUUUCAAAACAAAAAAUGGAUUUUGCAUUCAACUGAGGGAUUGAAGGAAUAUGAAUCAUUGAAGGAUUUAAAGAAUUCAAUUUCGACUGAAAUGCUCUGCAUUCCGCAAUCCGAAUAUGAACAAGCACCACUUCUGCAUAUAUGUCUGCCAAAAAAUUUACAUCCAAAGGAGGCUGACACAGAACUAAGUAAAUCUGUACUUCAAAAAGGAAAAGUUCAAAUAUUUGAUAGGGGCAAUGACCUUCGUUGGUAUGAAAAUACACAACGUUCAGCUGAUAAUGGUAAGAUUAUCAUAAUGCAAGGAGAUUGGGUUCAGCAACCUGCCUAUAAGGAUGUGAAAGUGACGCUAAAGAUAUUUUCGGAAGAAAGUGACCUUAAGGAUUUCACAUCUCUGACACACUUCUGCAAUCAAAUUUAUUCUGCGCAAUUUCUUAAGCUGUACGGUGUGACAUUGACCCGACCCUAUACUAUGGCGAUGGAGUACGCGCAUUAUGGACCGCUUGAUAAAUUACUCCGAAAAAACAAAAAUAAAAUAUCUUUCUCUAUGCUUAUCGAUAUAGCAUUUGAUUUGGUCAGAGGAAUCGGAUAUCUGCGUGAAAAGAAAUUUUAUCAUGGCUCUAUAAGAUGUUCUAACAUGUUCGUAACUAAAUUCGAUGCAAAUAAUAACAAAAUUCAGACUAAAAUUGGUGAUCCUGGACUUCGCCGACCUUAUACCUACGAAGACCUUCCAUGGAUUCCCCAGGAAUACUAUAAUAAUCUCAAUGCUGUUCAUGGGGACAAUUGUGUAGAUGCAUGGGCCUUUGCAACCACUCUAUGGGAGAUAUUUGCAUAUGGCAAAUCACCGCUAGAGGAACUUGGUUGUGGCGGAAAUAUACACGAGAUGGGUGAAAAGCUACAAACGAAUCGAACACAAAGAUACGGUGGCAUAUUACCACAACCCAGCAAGGAUUGCCCAGACAAAAUUUAUCACAUCAUGCUAGACGGCUGGCAAACCGACGCUCACCGGAGAUUUGAUUGCGUAGAUAUCUUUGGAAUACUACAACAUUUCGAGAAAAGGCUACCGGUUUAUGAGUCAGAUAGUGAUUUUUACGACCACAAUGAAAAUAAUGAAGAUGACGAUGUGUCUUUGAAUUACUCUGAAGCGCCAUCAUCUCCACAAAAUCACAAUCGAUUUGACGAUGUUAUUAUGUCUGUUGUUAUACAACUCCCAAACGGAAAAGUGAUUGUAGAUAAACGUUUAGGUGAAGGUCAUUACGGCGUUGUGUAUUCAGGCACAAUAAACUGUAAAAAUAAGCCUAUCGAGAAAGUAGCAGUUAAAACUCUAAAAACGACUGCGAAUGUAAAAGAUUUCAUUCGUGAAAGUAAAAUAAUGACGGGCCUCGAACACGAAAAUGUUGUGAAAAUCAAAUGUUUUGUCGAGAAACCAAUUUUCUACAUUAUAAUGGAAUAUGUGUCUGGCGGUUCCUUUAAUGAUUUUCUUAUAGCUCAAAAGCAAGAUUUAACUAACAGAAUGCUUUUGCACUAUGCUCAUGACAUUGCUAAGGGUAUGAAUUAUUUAGCUGAAAAAAAGAUUAUACACAGAGAUUUGGCGACGCGAAACAUUUUAAUCGAGUCAGAUCGGUUAAAAAUAUCUGAUUUCGGUUUGGCGCAAUUUGCGAAUUCGGACGGAUAUUACAUUGUGCAAAGUAGGAGAGACAUCCCUAUAAAAUGGUAUUCGCCGGAAGCCAUACUUUAUAACAAAUUCUCCGUAUACACGGAUGUAUGGUCUUUUGGCGUAACUAUGUUUGAGACAUUUUCUCGUGGAGGAGAACCAAAUCUUAUAGACAACAGGGAGUUAAGUAAAGAUGAGUUUCUAUCCCAGUUACAAAGUGGAAAAAGGCUGAAAAAACCCGAAGGUUGUCCGCAAAUAGUUUACGACAAAUUAAUGAGAGAAUGCUGGAGAGAAGAACCAAGAAUGCGGCCAAACUUUGCUGAACUGCUUGUCAGUAUACGGUCAAUUAUGGAAGAACAAGGAGAAACCAUUUGAAAUGGCUAUUUUUCGUCAAUUUAAAUUUCACUUACCAUCGCUUUUUAAAAACAUGCUAUACCCACGACGAAAAUAUGUUUCAAAAGAAAAUUUAUCUGCACGUCAAUUUUGGAUCUGAUAUAAGUGUAGCAGAUUCCUCUUUCGGUGAAGUUCCGGCCGACUCUGUACUAAUUUGCUGGCGACCGGGGAAAUUCCAUUGUAAUUCUG